UGAGAAACGUGCCUUGAUGGUACUCAAAAUUUUGAUGUCAUUAGAUUUGCUUCUUACCGCACAGCUUGCAAAUUGAGAUUUAUACAAAAGAAACUUCACUACUACAUCCACAACUGCUGCUUUUAUCUGGGCCCCAGUGUACCUGAUCAAUAUCUGGAAUAUCAUCGAGGCUUUCCGGGAAAAUGGUCUAAACAAUAUGGAACUCAGGACCGAAAUAAACGUUUCACAUCUGGAAACCCUCCUGUCGUCCAUUUUUUACCAAUUGAAUAAAAGACUGCCAUCUGCUCAACAGCUCGACAUCAAUCUGUGUACAGCGAAAGUACUCAACUGGCUUUUGGCACUAUACGAUAAAGAAGACAGAAGCAAAAUUUCUGCAUUUUCACUUAAAGUUGCGCUAGCCACAAUGUGUGCAGGGAAGCUUAUGGAUAAAUUGAGAUAUAUAUUCUCGCUUAUAUCCGAACCAAAUGGAUUAUUAAUUCAUACACGUUUUGCCGACUUUUUAAAAGAAGCAUUGGUUCUUCCAUGUGCUGUUUAUGAAUCGCCGACAUUUUCGUUUAAAGAGAGUUUAGCUAGUAGAAUUUUUGAUCACAGAUCUAAAAUAACAGUUAAUGAUUUUCUGGACACAAUCAUUUCCGAUCCCGGUCCUUCCUGUCUUGUAUGGCUUCCUCUUCUGCAUCGUUUGGCUAAUGUGGAAAAUGUUUUUCAUCCCGUUCAAUGCGAUGGUUGCAACAGAGAAUCUUUCAGAGGUUUCAGAUAUAAAUGCCAGCAGUGUUAUAAUUAUCAAUUAUGUCAGGAUUGUUUUUGGAGAGGAAGGAUUUCCGGAAAUCAUUCAAAUCAACACGAAAUGAAGGAAUAUACAACAUACAAAUCGCCCAGUAAACAACUCGGCCAUUCAUUAAGAAAAUCAUUUCAAUGUGUUCCGGAGAAACCAGCAAACGUUUUCCCUCGUUUUCCGGAAAAACCAGAGAGACCUCUUAAUUUAUCUCAUAUCGUUCCAGCAUCUCCUGCCACGUUUCAAAAUGGAUUUUCGGAAGUGCCAUGUCGUUCUGUCGAAAAAUAUCCCGUGGAAAGUCAUUCGAGUCAUGCUGUAGCCAAAAGUCCACAGUACGCUUCGUCCGUGGAAGCGUAUCAAGAAGAAGAACAUAAUCUUAUAGCUCGAUACGCUGCACAUCUAGCAGAUUCAUCUUCAUUAAGAAGCCCAUCCGAAAUUAGCUUAUCUCAAGAUACUAACAAGCAGCAAGAAUUGAUACUUCAACUCGAAAAUGAGAACAGGGAUAUAAUGAGAAAGAUUAUGUGUCUUCGACAACAACAAAUGGGUGCCUUGGUACCAACAAAUAAAAGUUCGACAUUGAUCAGCGAGUUGCAUAUACUUCGACAAAGAAAAAACGAAUUAGAGACUCAUCUAUGUGAUUUACAAGAAAGUAGACGAGAAUUAAUGAUUCAACUCGAAGCACUGAUGAAACUGUUAAAAAAUCAUCAAGGGUUACCUACGACACCGAGUAGCUCUCACUCAGGAACUAACAGAUCGCUUCUUUUUACUACACCCUAUCCACUGUCUUCGUCACGAAGCGCGCCGACCACUCCGGGAAGUGGCAUCCCUACUUUUGAAAGUUUUUCAGGAGUAGGAGCCAAGCAUCUCCCAUUUACUUCUUCCGCCAGCACACGGAGCUUACAGAAUGAUUUAUUAAUCGCAGCAGAUUCGGUUACAAAUGCCAUGUCUUCAUUAGUCAGAGAACUGAAUUCCGGAUCGGAGGAUGAGGAGAGAUUACAGGAUCAUAAACUACUGAGCAGUAGCAGAGAUUUCGAAACGGAAGACACCGAAAGUCCUGGGGAUAGUUUAGAGAUUGGGAGCACAUUAUGGCAAGAAAAAUGCCACCGUUCCGAUGAGAAUAGAUUCCUGGAAGAGAUAUGCGCUAGGAACGUCACAAAUACCUCACCUGGGGCCAUAGGUGGAAUCGAUGAUACAGAAACUCAAGAACUUUACGAUGGAGAAAUUGGGGAUUUAGAUUUGUCUUAUCAUCACACCUCAUUUACCACCGACGACGAGAGUUAUGUUCGAACAGAUGAUGACGAUGAUGAAGGAGCAAACGCAGACUGGGAAGAUAACAUGAAACGUUGGGUAAAUCGAUAAAAGACAGGUUGGAUUUCCUAACGUAUGCAAUCAUUAUAUGCAGUUGAUUUUAAAAUUUUUCGAACAUGUUUUCGCUUCGAUUGGUACAUGUUGCAUUGUUGCAGUUUUCUGUUGUUUAAAAAGACGAAAAAAAAAAAAGAAAUUGUAAAACUGAAUUUCUUAAGUAUUAAUAAAUCUUAAAAUAUCAGUAUCUGCAGUGGACUUUUCUUAUAAUUUUGCAUGAUUGAUGAACUAUAAUUUAAACUACACACAAAGUUAUUAUAAGAAAAUUUAUACAGAAACCGAAAGGGAUAUCGUCAUGCGAUACGAAAUUAACCUGGAGAUUUCGACUUUCUCACA
rnacentral:misc_RNA from 1 species